CAACAACAACAACAACAAAUAUGGCGGAAUCUGUAUUGUCAAACACGGAAGAAGAAGGAUACAACCAUAAUUAAACCAAGAAGUUUAUGAAGAAGGGAUCACUGGAUUUUGUCACUUUGGUACAAGAAACAGAAAAGGAUAUCAUAGACCACCUUACUUAUACGGAAGCAUAGGAGCUGUUGAAGGAAAUUGCUGCCAGACAGUCAGCAGUUAUCACUGACAGCCUGUCCUGGCCCAGCUUGGACCAUCCUCAAGCUUACCAUGAUGGUGUGUUUGCAAGAAUUGUCCAUUUGGUAGACCAUGAUGAAGACCAGCUUUGUUGUGGCAUGGCCUGACAAUACUGUACAAGCCAGAGACCAAAAAAGGGUUUAGUGGUGACUGAUCCUCUCACCCUCCUUAUCCAGGAAACAUUUCGGAACAACGUGUUGGCACUGAAGAUGUGGAGGACACAGAUUGAUCACAGUACAUCCUUUGGAUACAUGGACACCUUCAACGUGACGACAACAAAACUGUACCUGCCUUUUUUUGAAAGGAAGUAGUUAAUAAAAUUAUUGUUAACAGCUUUUUUAGUCUUGUUGUUUAAGAAUGCUUGCAACAUUUAAGUCGAUAAACGGUUGUUUUAAAUUUGAAUCUUCAGUAAUGCAUUCUUUAUUAAAUGAUGUAAUCUUAUUUCUUUCAAUAUAGUGUAAAUAAUAAGAACAUAAUUAUCCUUUGUAUACAAAAUGAAAACCAAGUUUACUGUUCUAUUAAUCAUUAUUUAUUUAUCUUGUUCUUUUGUCAGAAAUAUUACAGGGGCAUACAUACAGUAUUCCUUAAAUAAAAGGGGCAGUUCUUAGAAAAUUAACAUGUAUUUUAGCAAUGCAUAUUCAAACUUUUUCCACAUUUAUAACCAGCAACAAUAUGUAAGUAGUAUAAUGUAACACAAAUUAAUACUAUAAAUUUACUACUGAUUUUGCCGUGCCUGUCAUCAAACAUGUUUGACUGAAAGUUUCUUAAAAGAUGUUAUGUGGAAGACUAAAUCAAUCAUUUAAUAAAUAUUUGAGCCACGCUCUGGGAAAAGGGGGUUUAAUGCAUGUACUUAAGGUUGUCCAAGAUUAGGCUGUGCAGACUGCACAGGCUAAUCAGGGGCAACACUUUCCGCCUUAUCUGGAUUUUCUCUAAGAGACUCCAUUUCAACAAAAAAUACAAUAAAGCAGCAAUUGUCUGCCUGAUUGGUAUUAUCAGCACAUGUUAAUCUCGUACGACAAUUUACGCAGAUGAAUUAAGCCCCAUUUUCCCAGGGCAAGGCUCACCUAUUUAGGUUUUAGCUGUCUAUAUGCUCUUUAACUUUUGAAUCAUGAUGCAGUUUCAUAUAAUAAUGUAUUAUGAGUUGUUUUAAAUUGAUGCAUAUUCUUUUGUUCAGUGUUGAACUCAACAUGUAUUAUAAUAAGGUGUUCACUUAACAUUCUUGCAGUAAUGUUUUGCUGUGUAAUAUACAUGUAAUAAUAAAUCAAAAUUGAACAACUAGCUUCUUAUUUCUUCAUGUUAUUUAUUAAAACAUUUUAAACCAAAACAACAAAAUCCAUCACAUAAUGAACACAAAACAUAAUACUUUAUAUUCAUGAAACAAAACUAUAAUUGAUAACAUUUUGAAUAAAUGUUUCCAACUUUCAACAUUUGACAGAUCAAAUUAUUUCUGAAUUCCACCAAUUUUUUAUUUAUGGAUAAACAGCACUUUAUCAUCUUUAUGACAGUUUAUGUAAGGCUUUUACAAUAAAUGGUUGUUUAUAGACUGAUAAACAAUGGAAAACAAUACAUAAUCUAUAUAAAGCAUUGUGCUUUGAUGUCAUUGUUAAUGGAACAUAAACAAAUGUGGUGUGCAGCACACACUCAACAUUGACUAUGGUAGCUUAUACCUAAAAGAGUCAAUAAUUCCUGUUCAUAGUCUUUACUUGUGACAAAAAAUCAGGAAAACGCUGAGCCCAGUGUUUAUUUAGCUAUUUGCCAAACAAGGUUUUCACAAAUUCUUC